GACGAACGCUGGCGGCGUGCCUAAUACAUGCAAGUAGAACGCAGUUGCGAACGGGUGAGUAACGCGUAGGUAACUGCCUCAUAGCAGGGGAAAACUAUUGGAAACGAUAGCUAAUACCGCAUACUGUGAGAUGGACCUGCGUUGUAUUAGCUAGUUGGUGAGGUAAAGGCUCACCAAGGCGACGAUACAUAGCCGGCCUGGGAGGGUGGUCCGCCAAACCUGGACUUGGACACGGCCCAGGACCCCACGGGGAGGAGCAGUAGGGAAUUGUCGGCAAUGGGCGGAAGUCUGACCGCGCAACGCCGCGGUAGUGAAGAAGGUUUUCGGAUUGUAAAACUAUGUUGUUAGAGAAGCGGUACCUAACCAGAAAGGGCCGGCUAACUACGUGCCAGCAGCCGCGGUAAUAC
rnacentral:rRNA from 1 species